rnacentral:rRNA from 1 species
AUUGAACGCUGGCGGCAUGCCUUACACAUGCAAGUCGAACGGUAACAGGUCUUCGGAUGCUGACGAGUGGCGAACGGGUGAGUAAUACAUCGGAACGUGCCUAGUAGUGGGGGAUAACUACUCGAAAGAGUGGCUAAUACCGCAUGAGAUCUACGGAUGAAAGCAGGGGAUCGCAAGACCUUGUGCCACUAGAGCGGCCGAUGGCAGAUUAGGUAGUUGGUGGGAUAAAAGCUUACCAAGCCGACGAUCUGUAGCUGGUCUGAGAGGACGAUCAGCCAAACUGGGACUGAGACACGGCCCAGACUCCUACGGGAGGCAGCAGUGGGGAAUUUUGGACAAUGGGCGAAAGCCUGAUCCAGCAAUGCCGCGUGAAGGAUGAAGGCCUUCGGGUUGUAAACUGCUUUUGUACGGAACGAAAAGCCCCGGGUUAAUACCCUGGGGUCAUGACGGUACCGUAAGAAUAAGCACCGGCUAACUACGUGCCAGCCGCCGCGGUAA